rnacentral:rRNA from 1 species
ACGUAGGUGGCAAGCGUUAUCCGGAUUUACUGGGUGUAAAGGGCGAGUAGGCGGGAUUGCAAGUCAGAUGUGAAAACUAUGGGCUCAACCCAUAGACUGCAUUUGAAACUGUAGUUCUUGAGUGAUGGAGAGGUAGGCGGAAUUCCCGGUGUAGCGGUGGAAUGCGUAGAUAUCGGGAGGAACACCAGUGGCGAAGGCGGCCUGCUGGACAUUAACUGACGCUGAGGCGCGAAAGCGUGGGGAGCAAACAG